AACCCAUGUUGAAGACAUUUUCACAAGAGUUCCUUGAACCUUUCCCAUGUCUCGAAUAGAGACUCCAAUUACACUUGCACAAAGGAUGAGAUCUCAUUUCUAAGCUU